rnacentral:rRNA from 1 species
GGGCGCACGGUGGAUGCCUUGACACUAGGAGUCGAUGAAGGACGGGACUAACGCCGAUAUGCUUCGGGGAGCUGUAAGUAAGCUUUGAUCCGAAGAUUUCCGAAUGGGGAAACCCACCAUACGUAAUGGUAUGGUAUCCUUAUCUGAAUACAUAGGGUAAAGGAAGACAGACCCAGGGAACUGAAACAUCUAAGUACCUGGAGGAAGAGAAAGCAAAUGCGAUUUCCUGAGUAGCGGCGAGCGAAACGGAACAUAGCCCAAACCAAGAGGCUUGCCUCUUGGGGUUGUAGGACAUUCUAUACGGAGUUACAAAGGAACGAGGUAGACGAAGCGACCUGGAAAGGUCCGUCGUAGAGGGUAACAACCCCGUAGUCGAAACUUCGUUCUCUCUUGAAUGUAUCCUGAGUACGGCGGAACACGUGAAAUUCCGUCGGAAUCUGGGAGGACCAUCGUCCCAAGGCUAAAUACUCCCUAGUGAUCGAUAGUGAACCAGUACCGUGAGGGAAAGGUGAAAAGCACCCCGGAAGGGGAGUGAAAGAGAUCCUGAAACCGUGUGCCUACAAAUAGUCAGAGCCCGUUAACGGGUGAUGGCGUGCCUUUUGUAGAAUGAACCGGCGAGUUACGAUCCCGUGCGAGGUUAAGCUGAAGAGGCGGAGCCGCAGCGAAAGCGAGUCUGAAUAGGGCGUUUAGUACGUGGUCGUAGACCCGAAACCAGGUGAUCUACCCAUGUCCAGGGUGAAGUUCAGGUAACACUGAAUGGAGGCCCGAACCCACGCACGUUGAAAAGUGCGGGGAUGAGGUGUGGGUAGCGGAGAAAUUCCAAUCGAACCUGGAGAUAGCUGGUUCUCCCCGAAAUAGCUUUAGGGCUAGCCUUAAGUGUAAGAGUCUUGGAGGUAGAGCACUGAUUGGACUAGGGGUCCUCAUCGGAUUACCGAAUUCAGUCAAACUCCGAAUGCCAAUGACUUAUCCUUAGGAGUCAGACUGCGAGUGAUAAGAUCCGUAGUCAAAAGGGAAACAGCCCAGACCGCCAGCUAAGGUCCCAAAGUGUGUAUUAAGUGGAAAAGGAUGUGGAGUUGCUUAGACAACUAGGAUGUUGGCUUAGAAGCAGCCACCAUUUAAAGAGUGCGUAAUAGCUCACUAGUCGAGUGACUCUGCGCCGAAAAUGUACCGGGGCUAAAUACACCACCGAAGCUGCGGAUUGAUACCAAUGGUAUCAGUGGUAGGGGAGCGUUCUAAGGACAGUGAAGUCAGACCGGAAGGACUGGUGGAGUGCUUAGAAGUGAGAAUGCCGGUAUGAGUAGCGAAAGACGGGUGAGAAUCCCGUCCACCGAAUGCCUAAGGUUUCCUGAGGAAGGCUCGUCCGCUCAGGGUUAGUCAGGACCUAAGCCGAGGCCGACAGGCGUAGGCGAUGGACAACAGGUUGAUAUUCCUGUACCACCUCUUUAUCGUUUGAGCAAUGGAGGGACGCAGAAGGAUAGAAGAAGCGUGCGAUUGGUUGUGCACGUCCAAGCAGUUAGGCUGAUAAGUAGGCAAAUCCGCUUAUCGUGAAGGCUGAGCUGUGAUGGGGAAGCUCCUUAUGGAGCGAAGUCUUUGAUUCCCCGCUGCCAAGAAAAGCUUCUAGCGAGAUAAAAGGUGCCUGUACCGCAAACCGACACAGGUAGGCGAGGAGAGAAUCCUAAGGUGUGCGAGAGAACUCUGGUUAAGGAACUCGGCAAAAUGACCCCGUAACUUCGGGAGAAGGGGUGCUUUCUUAACGGAAAGCCGCAGUGAAUAGGCCCAAGCGACUGUUUAGCAAAAACACAGCUCUCUGCGAAGCCGUAAGGCGAAGUAUAGGGGGUGACACCUGCCCGGUGCUGGAAGGUUAAGGAGAGGGGUUAGCGUAAGCGAAGCUCUGAACUGAAGCCCCAGUAAACGGCGGCCGUAACUAUAACGGUCCUAAGGUAGCGAAAUUCCUUGUCGGGUAAGUUCCGACCCGCACGAAAGGUGUAACGAUUUGGGCACUGUCUCAACCAGAGACUCGGUGAAAUUAUAGUACCUGUGAAGAUGCAGGUUACCCGCGACAGGACGGAAAGACCCCGUGGAGCUUUACUGUAGCCUGAUAUUGAAUUUUGGUACAGUUUGUACAGGAUAGGCGGGAGCCUUUGAAACCGGAGCGCUAGCUUCGGUGGAGGCGCUGGUGGGAUACCGCCCUGACUGUAUUGAAAUUCUAACCUACGGGUCUUAUCGACCCGGGAGACAGUGUCAGGUGGGCAGUUUGACUGGGGCGGUCGCCUCCUAAAGUGUAACGGAGGCGCCCAAAGGUUCCCUCAGAAUGGUUGGAAAUCAUUCGUAGAGUGCAAAGGCAUAAGGGAGCUUGACUGCGAGACCUACAAGUCGAGCAGGGACGAAAGUCGGGCUUAGUGAUCCGGUGGUUCCGCAUGGAAGGGCCAUCGCUCAACGGAUAAAAGCUACCCCGGGGAUAACAGGCUUAUCUCCCCCAAGAGUCCACAUCGACGGGGAGGUUUGGCACCUCGAUGUCGGCUCAUCGCAUCCUGGGGCUGUAGUCGGUCCCAAGGGUUGGGCUGUUCGCCCAUUAAAGCGGUACGCGAGCUGGGUUCAGAACGUCGUGAGACAGUUCGGUCCCUAUCCGUCGUGGGCGUAGGAAAUUUGAGAGGAGCUGUCCUUAGUACGAGAGGACCGGGAUGGACGCACCGCUGGUGUACCAGUUGUUCUGCCAAGGGCAUAGCUGGGUAGCUAUGUGCGGAAGGGAUAAGUGCUGAAAGCAUCUAAGCAUGAAGCCCCCCUCAAGAUGAGAUUUCCCAUAGCGUAAGCUAGUAAGAUCCCUGAAAGAUGAUCAGGUUGAUAGGUUCGAGGUGGAAGCAUGGUGACAUGUGGAGCUGACGAAUACUAAUAGAUCGAGGACUUAACCAU